rnacentral:lncRNA from 1 species
GGCAGGUCCAGGUGAAGCCAGGUUAUGGAGAAAAUGAAUACAAACUGACAAAUGCACAGGAGGAAAGCAAGCGGAAGAGCUCACCCUGAAGUCACAACAUAACUGAGCGAACUCUGAGCACUGACUGUUGACACAUGGUCCAUUGUUCUUUAUCAGCCGGUACCGCCAGGCCUGGAGAAGCUGGUGCAAACCGCGCGAAGCUCAGUGAGGGGCCGUAGGAAUCCAUCAUCGCCCCUGCCCCAGCACUGGUGCUGGAUGGCUCUUGUGCUCACCCGCCCUGGGCUCUUCCUGCUAUGAGCAAGAUCACCAACGGAAGAGCACUUCAAUCAAGGCAUCAGGGGACAUUUGGGGUGAGUUUGAGGAGCAGGAGAAGAGCAGUCCAGCUAAGACCUGCAGAUCUUACCAGCUGACACUGAGAAGGAAGUGCGGUGGCCGUAGCAGUCCAGAAGCAGCCCUUCCUGCCAGUCUUAAUCAGUAGCGC